AUUGAACGCUGGCGGCAUGCCUUACACAUGCAAGUCGAACGGCAGCACGGGAGCAAUCCUGGUGGCGAGUGGCGAACGGGUGAGUAAUAUAUCGGAACGUGCCCAGUCGUGGGGAUAACGUAGCGAAAGCUACGCUAAUACCGCAUACGAUCUAUGGAUGAAAGCGGGGGAUCGCAAGACCUCGCGCGAUUGGAGCGGCCGAUAUCAGAUUAGGUAGUUGGUGAGGUAAAGGCUCACCAAGCCGACGAUCUGUAGCUGGUCUGAGAGGAUGAUCAGCCACACUGGGACUGAGACACGGCCCAGACUCCUACGGGAGGCAGCAGUGGGGAAUUUUUGGACAAUGGGCGCAAGCCUGAUCCAGCAAUGCCGCGUGCAGGAUGAAGGCCUC
rnacentral:rRNA from 1 species